rnacentral:rRNA from 1 species
GGUUAAGCGACUAAGCGUACACGGUGGAUGCCCUGGCAGUCAGAGGCGAUGAAGGACGUGCUAAUCUGCGAUAAGCGUCGGUAAGGUGAUAUGAACCGUUAUAACCGGCGAUUUCCGAAUGGGGAAACCCAGUGUGUUUCGACACACUAUCAUUAACUGAAUCCAUAGGUUAAUGAGGCGAACCGGGGGAACUGAAACAUCUAAGUACCCCGAGGAAAAGAAAUCAACCGAGAUUCCCCCAGUAGCGGCGAGCGAACGGGGAGCAGCCCAGAGCCUGAAUCAGUGUGUGUGUUAGUGGAAGCGUCUGGAAAGGCGCGCGAUACAGGGUGACAGCCCCGUACACAAAAAUGCACAUGCUGUGAGCUCGAUGAGUAGGGCGGGACACGUGGUAUCCUGUCUGAAUAUGGGGGGACCAUCCUCCAAGGCUAAAUACUCCUGACUGACCGAUAGUGAACCAGUACCGUGAGGGAAAGGCGAAAAGAACCCCGGCGAGGGGAGUGAAAAAGAACCUGAAACCGUGUACGUACAAGCAGUGGGAGCCUCUUUUAUGGGGUGACUGCGUACCUUUUGUAUAAUGGGUCAGCGACUUAUAUUCUGUAGCAAGGUUAACCGAAUAGGGGAGCCGAAGGGAAACCGAGUCUUAACUGGGCGUUAAGUUGCAGGGUAUAGACCCGAAACCCGGUGAUCUAGCCAUGGGCAGGUUGAAGGUUGGGUAACACUAACUGGAGGACCGAACCGACUAAUGUUGAAAAAUUAGCGGAUGACUUGUGGCUGGGGGUGAAAGGCCAAUCAAACCGGGAGAUAGCUGGUUCUCCCCGAAAGCUAUUUAGGUAGCGCCUCGUGAAUUCAUCUCCGGGGGUAGAGCACUGUUUCGGCAAGGGGGUCAUCCCGACUUACCAACCCGAUGCAAACUGCGAAUACCGGAGAAUGUUAUCACGGGAGACACACGGCGGGUGCUAACGUCCGUCGUGAAGAGGGAAACAACCCAGACCGCCAGCUAAGGUCCCAAAGUCAUGGUUAAGUGGGAAACGAUGUGGGAAGGCCCAGACAGCCAGGAUGUUGGCUUAGAAGCAGCCAUCAUUUAAAGAAAGCGUAAUAGCUCACUGGUCGAGUCGGCCUGCGCGGAAGAUGUAACGGGGCUAAACCAUGCACCGAAGCUGCGGCAGCGACGCUUAUGCGUUGUUGGGUAGGGGAGCGUUCUGUAAGCCUGUGAAGGUGUGCUGUGAGGCAUGCUGGAGGUAUCAGAAGUGCGAAUGCUGACAUAAGUAACGAUAAAGCGGGUGAAAAGCCCGCUCGCCGGAAGACCAAGGGUUCCUGUCCAACGUUAAUCGGGGCAGGGUGAGUCGACCCCUAAGGCGAGGCCGAAAGGCGUAGUCGAUGGGAAACAGGUUAAUAUUCCUGUACUUGGUGUUACUGCGAAGGGGGGACGGAGAAGGCUAUGUUGGCCGGGCGACGGUUGUCCCGGUUUAAGCGUGUAGGCUGGUUUUCCAGGCAAAUCCGGAAAAUCAAGGCUGAGGCGUGAUGACGAGGCACUACGGUGCUGAAGCAACAAAUGCCCUGCUUCCAGGAAAAGCCUCUAAGCAUCAGGUAACAUCAAAUCGUACCCCAAACCGACACAGGUGGUCAGGUAGAGAAUACCAAGGCGCUUGAGAGAACUCGGGUGAAGGAACUAGGCAAAAUGGUGCCGUAACUUCGGGAGAAGGCACGCUGAUAUGUAGGUGAAGCGACUUGCUCGUGGAGCUGAAAUCAGUCGAAGAUACCAGCUGGCUGCAACUGUUUAUUAAAAACACAGCACUGUGCAAACACGAAAGUGGACGUAUACGGUGUGACGCCUGCCCGGUGCCGGAAGGUUAAUUGAUGGGGUCAGCGCAAGCGAAGCUCUUGAUCGAAGCCCCGGUAAACGGCGGCCGUAACUAUAACGGUCCUAAGGUAGCGAAAUUCCUUGUCGGGUAAGUUCCGACCUGCACGAAUGGCGUAAUGAUGGCCAGGCUGUCUCCACCCGAGACUCAGUGAAAUUGAACUCGCUGUGAAGAUGCAGUGUACCCGCGGCAAGACGGAAAGACCCCGUGAACCUUUACUAUAGCUUGACACUGAACAUUGAGCCUUGAUGUGUAGGAUAGGUGGGAGGCUUAGAAGUGUGGACGCCAGUCUGCAUGGAGCCGACCUUGAAAUACCACCCUUUAAUGUUUGAUGUUCUAACGUUGACCCGUAAUCCGGGUUGCGGACAGUGUCUGGUGGGUAGUUUGACUGGGGCGGUCUCCUCCUAAAGAGUAACGGAGGAGCACGAAGGUUGGCUAAUCCUGGUCGGACAUCAGGAGGUUAGUGCAAUGGCAUAAGCCAGCUUGACUGCGAGCGUGACGGCGCGAGCAGGUGCGAAAGCAGGUCAUAGUGAUCCGGUGGUUCUGAAUGGAAGGGCCAUCGCUCAACGGAUAAAAGGUACUCCGGGGAUAACAGGCUGAUACCGCCCAAGAGUUCAUAUCGACGGCGGUGUUUGGCACCUCGAUGUCGGCUCAUCACAUCCUGGGGCUGAAGUAGGUCCCAAGGGUAUGGCUGUUCGCCAUUUAAAGUGGUACGCGAGCUGGGUUUAGAACGUCGUGAGACAGUUCGGUCCCUAUCUGCCGUGGGCGCUGGAGAACUGAGGGGGGCUGCUCCUAGUACGAGAGGACCGGAGUGGACGCAUCACUGGUGUUCGGGUUGUCAUGCCAAUGGCACUGCCCGGUAGCUAAAUGCGGAAGAGAUAAGUGCUGAAAGCAUCUAAGCACGAAACUUGCCCCGAGAUGAGUUCUCCCUGACCCUUUAAGGGUCCUGAAGGAACGUUGAAGACGACGACGUUGAUAGGCCGGGUGUGUAAGCGCAGCGAUGCGUUGAGCUAACCGGUACUAAUGAACCGUGAGGCUUAACCUU